rnacentral:rRNA from 1 species
ACGGGAGGCAGCAGUGGGGAAUAUUGGACAAUGGGGGAAACCUGAUCCAGCGACGCCGCGUGAGUGAAGAAGUAUUUCGGUAUGUAAAGCUCUAUCAGCAAGGAAGAAAAUGACGGUACUUGAAUAAGAAGCCCCGGCUAACUACGUGCCAGCAGCCGCGGUAAUACGUAGGGGGCAAGCGUUAUCCGGAUUUACUGGGUGUAAAGGGAGCGUAGACGGCAAAGCAAGUCUGAAGUGAAAUCCCGGGGCUCAACCCUGGAACUGCUUUGGAAACUGUUUAGCUAGAGUGCAGGAGAGGUAAGUGGAAUUCCUAGUGUAGCGGUGAAAUGCGUAGAUAUUAGGAGGAACACCAGUGGCGAAGGCGGCUUACUGGACUGUAACUGACGUUGAGGCUCGAAAGCGUGGGGAGCAAACAGGAUUAGAUACCCUGGUA